UACGUAGGGCGCAAGCGUUAUCCGGAUUUAUUGGGCGUAAAGGGCUCGUAGGCGGUUCGUCGCGUCCGGUGUGAAAGUCCAUCGCUUAACGGUGGAUCCGCGCCGGGUACGGGCGGGCUUGAGUGCGGUAGGGGAGACUGGAAUUCCCGGUGUAACGGUGGAAUGUGUAGAUAUCGGGAAGAACACCAAUGGCGAAGGCAGGUCUCUGGGCCGUUACUGACGCUGAGGAGCGAAAGCGUGGGGAGCGAACAGG
rnacentral:rRNA from 1 species